rnacentral:rRNA from 1 species
UGAGGAAUAUUGGUCAAUGGACGCAAGUCUGAACCAGCCAAGUAGCGUGCAGGAUGACGGCCCUAUGGGUUGUAAACUGCUUUUAUAUGGGGAUAAAGUGGGGAACGUGUUCCCUUUUGCAGGUACCAUAUGAAUAAGGACCGGCUAAUUCCGUGCCAGCAGCCGCGGUAAUACGGAAGGUCCGGGCGUUAUCCGGAUUUAUUGGGUUUAAAGGGAGCGUAGGCUGUCUAUUAAGCGUGUUGUGAAAUAUACCGGCUCAACCGGUGGCUUGCAGCGCGAACUGGUCGACUUGAGUAUGCAGGAAGUAGGCGGAAUUCAUGGUGUAGCGGGGAAAUGCUUAGAUAUCAUGACGAACUCCGAUUGCGCAGGCAGCUUACUGUAGCAUAACUGACGCUGAUGCUCGAAAGUGCGGGUAUCAAACAGG